AUCUUCAGGUUCAUAAACGUGAUGAUUGGGUGUUCAUGUCCUAUGCAUGAUAUGUGCCUCCUUUCAAGCUUGUUACGACCUCGGCACAUUACCCAUCUGACA
rnacentral:snoRNA from 1 species